rnacentral:rRNA from 1 species
UACGAAGGGGGCUAGCGUUGCUCGGAAUCACUGGGCGUAAAGCGCACGCAGGCGGCUUUCUAAGUCAGGGGUGAAAUCCUGGAGCUCAACUCCAGAACUGCCUUUGAUACUGGAGAGCUUGAGUCCGGGAGAGGUGAGUGGAACUCCGAGUGUAGAGGUGAAAUUCGUAGAUAUUCGGAAGAACACCAGUGGCGAAGGCGGCUCACUGGCCCGGUACUGACGCUGAGGUGCGAAAGCGUGGGGAGCAAACAGG